rnacentral:rRNA from 1 species
GACGAACGCUGGCGGCGUGCUUAACACAUGCAAGUCGAGCGGAGCGGCGAACGGGUGAGUAACGCGUGAGUAACUGCCCCCCUCUCUGGGAUAACAGUUGGAAACGGCUGCUAAUACCGGAUAGGCGGGGAUGACUCGCGUCCUAUCAGCUUGUUGUUUGGGUAGUUGCCUACCAAGGGGACGACGGGUAGCCGGCCUGAUAGGGCGAACGGCCACAUUGGGUGGGGAUACGGCCCAAACUACGACGGGAGGCAGCAGUGGGGAAUAUGGCACCACGGGGGAAACCCUGAUGCAGUCACGCCGCGUGCGGGAUGACGGCCUUCGGGUUGUAAACCGCUUUCAGCCAUGACGCGGUAGUGGCAGAAGAAGCACCGGCUAACUACGUGCCAGCCGCCGCGGUAAGUC